rnacentral:rRNA from 1 species
AUUGAACGCUGGCGGCAGGCCUAACACAUGCAAGUCGAGCGGAUGAGGCGUGCUUGCACCCCGAUUCAGCGGCGGACGCGUGCGUAAUGCCUAGGAAUCUGCACGACAGUGGGGGACAACGUUUCGAAAGGAACGCUCAUACCGCCUACGUACUACGGGAGAAAGUGGGGGCUUUUCCGACCUCACGCCAUCGGAUGCGCCUAGGUCGGAUUAGCUAGGUGGUGGGGUAAAGGCUCACCAAGGCGACGAUCCGUAACUGGGCUGAGAGGAUGAUCAGUCACACUGGAACUGAGACACGGUCCAGACUCCUACGGGAGGCAGCAGUGGGGAAUAUUGGACAAUGGGCGAAAGCCUGAUCCAGCCAUGCCGCGUGUGUGAAGAAGGUCUUCGGAUUGUAAAGCACUUUAAGUCGGGAGGAAGGGCUGUAGGUUAAUACCUUGCAGCCUUGACGUUACCGACAGAAUAAGCACCGGCUAACUUCGUGCCAGCAGCCGCGGUAAGAC